rnacentral:ncRNA from 2 species
UCCGCACAGAAGGGAUAGGGUGCUGCCCAGACAGGUGGCGAACUGGGUGCAAAUCCCAGGCUGACCCGCAACCGUGACCGGAGUCCCGCACUCCGGCGAGCCGGACCAAAACCUGUUCCAGGAAUCAGUA